rnacentral:rRNA from 1 species
GAUGAACGCUGGCGGCGUGCCUAACACAUGCAAGUCGAGCGAACGGACGAGAAGCUUGCUUCUUUGAUGUUAGCGGCGGACGGGCGAGUAACACGUGGAUAACCUACUUAUAAGACUGGGAUAACUUCGGGAAACCGUAGCCAAUACCGGAUAAUAUUUUGAACCGCAUGGUGCAAAAGUGAAAGACGGUCUUGCUGUCACUUAUAGAUGGAUCCGCGCUGCAUUAGCUAGUUGGUAAGGUAACGGCUUACCAAGGCGACGAUGCAUAGCCGAGCUGAGAGGGUGAUCGGCCACACUGGAACUGAGACGCGGUCCAGACUCCUACGGGAGGCAGCAGUAGGGAAUCUUCCGCAAUGGGCGCAAGCCUGACGGAGCAACACCGCGUGAGUGAAGAAGGUCUUCGGGUCGUAAAGCUCUGUUGUUGGGGAAGAACAUAUGUGUAAGUAACUGUGCACGUCUUGACGGUACCUAAUCAAUAAGCAACGGCUAACUACGUG